rnacentral:rRNA from 1 species
GGCAUAUCAAAAGCGGAGGAAAAGAAACCAACAGGGAUUGCCCUAGUAACGGCGAGUGAAGCGGCAACAGCUCAAAUUUGAAAUCUGGCUCUUUCAGAGUCCGAGUUGUAAUUUGCAGAGGGCGCUUUGGCUUUGGCAGCGGUCCAAGUUCCUUGGAACAGGACGUCACAGAGGGUGAGAAUCCCGUACGUGGUCGCUAGCUAUUGCCGUGUAAAGCCCCUUCGACGAGUCGAGUUGUUUGGGAAUGCAGCUCUAAAUGGGAGGUAAAUUUCUUCUAAAGCUAAAUAUUGGCCAGAGACCGAUAGCGCACAAGUAGAGUGAUCGAAAGAUGAAAAGCACUUUGGAAAGAGAGUCAAACAGCACGUGAAAUUGUUGAAAGGGAAGCGCUUGCAGCCAGACUUGCUUGCAGUUGCUCAUCCGGGCUUUUGCCCGGUGCACUCUUCUGUAGGCAGGCCAGCAUCAGUUUGGGCGGUGGGAUAAAGGUCUCUGUCACGUACCUCUCUUCGGGGAGGCCUUAUAGGGGAGACGACAUACCACCAGCCUAGACUGAGGUCCGCGCAUCUGCUAGGAUGCUGGCGUAAUGGCUGUAAGCGGCCCGUCUUGAACACGGACCA